GUAUUUUUAUUUUGGGUACUGGUUCAGCCACUGGCGCGCCUGAUACCCCACAGGCGCCCACUCCCGGGUCGCCUGACACAGUGUUUGAAAAAACCCCCGGUCGGCCUCCCGACCGGGGG
rnacentral:sRNA from 4 species